rnacentral:rRNA from 1 species
GAGUUUGAUCCUGGCUCAGGAUGAACGCUGGCGGCGUGCCUAAUACAUGCAAGUCGAGCGAACAGACGAGGAGCUUGCUCCUCUGACGUUAGCGGCGGACGGGUGAGUAACACGUGGAUAACCUACCUAUAAGACUGGGAUAACUUCGGGAAACCGGAGCUAAUACCGAAUAAUAUAUUGAACCGCAUGGUUCAAUAGUGAAAAACGGUUUUGCUGUCACUUAUAGAUGGAUCCGCGCCGCAUUAGCUAGUUGGUAGGGUAACGGCUUACCAAGGCGACGAUGCGUAGCCGACCUGAGAGGGUGAUCGGCCACACUGGAACUGAGACACGGUCCAGACUCCUACGGGAGGCAGCAGUAGGGAAUCUUCCGCAAUGGGCGAAAGCCUGACGGAGCAACGCCGCGUGAGUGAUGAAGGUCUUCGGAUCGUAAAACUCUGUUAUUAGGGAAGAACAAAUGUGUGAGUAACUAUGCACGUCUUGACGGUACCUAAUCAGAAGCCACGGCUAACUACGUGCCAG